rnacentral:rRNA from 1 species
UACAGAGGUCUCAAGCGUUGUUCGGAUUCAUUGGGCGUAAAGGGUGCGUAGGCGGCGCGGUAAGUCGGGUGUGAAAUCUCGGAGCUUAACUCCGAAACUGCAUUCGAUACUGCCGUGCUUGAGGACUGGAGAGGAGACUGGAAUUUACGGUGUAGCGGUGAAAUGCGUAGAUAUCGUAAGGAAGACCAGUGGCGAAGGCGGGUCUCUGGACAGUUCCUGACGCUGAGGCACGAAGGCUAGGGGGAGCAAACGGG